CUUUUGCAAGACUUGGAGGCAAAGUUGAAAUAUCCAAAAGAAGAAGCAUCAAUUGGUUUAACUUUGUGGUGUGGAAGGCAAAGGAAUGUAAAGUUAGCUAAUUUAAUUCACCUUGGUUUGUGGCUCAACUCAAUUAUGUUUAAAGGACUUUAUGGUGAUUGCAUUCUCCCAAAUUACAUAGGUGAAUAGAAGGACUUUUGUGGAGCUGCAUGUUGGUGAUGUAAUACGGUUUGGACAGGGUUCUGAUUCAGAUUUUGUAGCGGCUGUAGAAUUCCUAUGUCUGGCUGGACAAUUUCAUUGCAGAUUUCUUGACAUGCAUGACUGAAUCUGUGCUUAUUUCAAUCUCGUCGCAGCUUCUACGCAUCGAAGAGGAACUUGGGCUAGAGUACAUCCACGAGCAUACAGUUGGAAAAAUUUGUGAUGUUGGAUUCGUUGAUGACAACAUUCGUUAAUGACAGAUUUGGUUAGUAUUGAUUUUCACUAAGGCAAUGUGGCAUUAUAGAUUAGU